CCUACGGGAGGCUGCAGUAGGGAAUCUUCCACAAUGGGCGAAAGCCUGAUGGAGCAACGCCGCGUGGGUGAAGAAGGUCUUAGGAGCGUAAAACCCUGUUGUUAGAGAAGAAAGUGCGUGAGAGUAACUGUUCACGUAUCGACGGUAUCUAACAAGAUAGCCACGGCUAACGACGGGCCAGCAGCCGCGGUAAUACGUAGGUGGCAAGCGUUAUCCGGAUUGAUUGGGCGUAAAGGGAACGCAGGUGGUUUUUUAAGUCUGAUGUGAAAGGCUUCGGCUUAACCGUAGUAGUGCAUUGGACACUGGGAGACUUGAGUGCAGAAGAGGAGAGUGGAACUCGAUGUGUAGCGGUGAAAUGCGUAGAUAUCUGGAAGAACACCAGUGGCGAAGGCGGCCCUCUAGUCUGUCACUGACGCUGAGGUUCGAAAGUGUGGGUAGCAAACAGGAUUAGAUACCCUUGUAGUC
rnacentral:rRNA from 1 species